AAUACACAACCAUCUCAAUAUACUUUUCCCCAAAAUGGGAAAGUUUGAGAAACAGCAAGGUCAAGAUCAUAUAUGUCAAGGAAUGGCAGUAACGAUCUAAAUGCAUUUAAGCUUUCACUAGCCAUGUGGAGUGUGACUCCAUCUCACCGGUCAUGCCACGUUCCUAACCACUUCCAGGACCUCUGUCCAUGAAGCCAGGGACUCUGGAGGGAGUCAUUCAUCUGCCCUGCCAGCCAGAGGCAUCAGAGCUGCAAUCUCACCCAACUGUGACUAGAACUUGGGGAAAUGAAAACAUGCACAGAGCACAAUUCAGCAUAGUGCUGAACACCUGUGAGGUAUUGAGUGUCAUCAGUUCCCACUGACACCCAUAGAGUUGAGGGUGCUCAGCACCUUCCCAGCUCAUGGCAGCACUUUGGCAGUGCACUGCCCUUAGCAACUUCACAGCAGAUAACAGAGGACAGAAAAAGGAAUUCAUAACAAAAAGAACUCUGAAUAAUUUUGCAUUCACCUAUGAAUUGGAUCAUCAGUUUUGGUCAGUAAUUUUGGGCAGAUAAUAUAAAGUAAAAAAGUUACUGUACUACUCCCUAAUGUGAAAUUAAUUAGGGGAGCCCUCACAAAGACAGUGGCUAGAGACG